UCUAGAACCAAUCCUGCAGUACCUCUGAGAUAUGCCCGUACUGUAAAAGGUACAGGCCAACAAAGUUACCCUAUAUAUAGCAAAUUCCUUCAAACUGGCCAUGCAAGUAACUGAAAUUCAGAAGAAAAAAACAAAAACAAAAACAAAAACAAACCACACUAUACGGAAAACAUGUAUUUCAGGCAUUCCCAGAACAAGCAUGAAGACUAGAGUUAUUUAAUACCUACCAAAUGGAAUGAAUCACCCCAACAUCUAAGUUACUUGCUCUUAA